rnacentral:lncRNA from 1 species
AUAGGUCGUCCAACAUCGUAACAGUCUAAUAGACACGACACGUAUCUCUUCCUGAAGAAUUUGAUCGCCCUCUAUCCUUGCUGCCACACCGCCGGCCGGGGAUGCGCGAGCCGAUGCCUCCGAUCCAGACAAGUCAACUAAUGAAGAGCAUGGAGUUUUGCAACACCAAUUCAGCACGAAGUACAGGAAGAUCUCACCGCCACAUGAAGAUAGAGAAAGAGAGAACCGUGAUGACGUGAUAGAUUACAGCUGCACGAUAUGGUGAGUUCCACCGGCGUGAAUUGCUGGCUGGCUAAACAUGAUAGGAUGCAAUCCACAUCUUCUUCAUGCUUUAUAAGAAAAAUUAGCUCCGUGCUUUCUCUAAUCCCCAUGAUCGAAGUAUAUGUCGAUGCACAUGAGGAGAGGAGUCCUCCCAAGUUCCCAACUGUCCUCUCGCCUUCCUCCAAUUAGUGCAGUGCUAAGCAUUACAACAAGGAGGCGAGGUUAUGAACAAAGGCAGAGAAGAGGGACAUGUGUGACGGGAGAAUCACAUAGCCUACAUCAGGAUCUGGUAGCAUGUUUUUUUUCUUAAGUUGUAAAUUGACAUCAAAUCGAGUAUAUUCUUCUUCUUCUAUUUACUUCAUAUGUAAAUUUCAUUUGUAGUCACGUCCUAAUAGUCAUGUGUACGUUGAUAUUUUGG